rnacentral:lncRNA from 1 species
GCUGAAGAGUUGAGCCAUAUCCGGACUCCCUCCACGGAAAAAGAAUCAAAGAAUUAAAGGAGAGAGGCCAGCUCAGAUCGGCCGAAUACCCAAGCUUGGGAUUACCCAGAUUAGUCCCAGUUUCCGAAUCCUAGCUUUUGCUCUUAUUAAAAGAGUAACAUUGGUCAGAUCCAGCCAUUAAUCACUACAUCAACAACGAGCAGCAUCAAUUUGGCUCAAAGCCAUCUUCCUUCUCUAUCUCUGCAACUUGUUUGGCGGUCAUGGUGGUCCUGAUUCAUUGGAUCUAUUGGGGUUUCCAUGAUCAAUUUUCUUCUUGUGUUUACAGCUUCCAUUCCCCUAUCUUCUCACUCCCUCAAGCAUAACCGGGGUUUGGUUCGCCUUGAGUAGUACAGCUUCCUCCGUUGUCUUCCGCAAACUCGACACCGAUGAUUUCCGCUACCCUCUCGUUAAGCAGAACACAUUGAUUUUGAGAGGGAUUCCAGGAUUGAUUGAAGUUGGAAAGAUUCUACUAGUUGGAUAACUUGAUAGGUGAAAAAUCUGUAUAGGUGGAUUAGAGGCGCUCGUUUCGCUUGAAUUUGAUUGCUCACACUACGUUUACUGUAACAGUGGCUAUUUGCAGUGAUUGUCAUUUGUCUGGAUUAACUUUCCAUGACUCCAGUUUGGCUAUCCUAAAAUCUUAGAACAAGGAUCAUCAGGACCUUCGGAAUCAUCAAGCUGAUCAAGAUAAACCAUUACCUCCAAUAUACAAGACAGGACGGGAUGUGUUUCCCAUGAAGUAGGACUUCAGGACCCUUCUCAUGCAUACCAGAUUGGGUUGGUUAUAAACAGGUAGUAAAGACUGUUUAUGCUUCUCCCUAUGCUUCUCCCAGCCAUGUCAACUUUCAUUUGGACUCGCAAAAGCUGUGUGGCUGACAUGGAGGGCAGCUGAGGUAGAAAGACGAUCUACCCAACUUGUAGAGGAGUUAGAGGCAAUGAAGGCUAGUGCAGCUCAACAAAAUGAAGAAUUAGAGGCAGUGAAGGCUAGUGCAGCUCAACAAAGUGAAGAGUUAGAGGCAGUUAAAGCAAACCAAAACGAGACAGAUGCACUUUAAAAAAAUUGCUGGAACAAUUUUCCUCUAGG